AGAACGGGGUGGCAUUUGUGGGUGAGAUCCUCCAGACGUUGUCCACCUCCAGUGCCAGGCAAUGCCAACUGGCCUGCACUCUCCAUGCCAGCUGCCAGUUCUUCUCUUACCUGGAGCCGCAACCCACAGAGGACAAAACAAGUAGCUGCACUCUAAUGACCAGAGACUCCACCCAGCACUUUUCUGUUAAUGCCUCUCUACAAACAUCAGGGUUCUCCUUAAGGAACUUUUCUGGUACAGUCAUCUCUCCCAAUAGGACCUACACCCUGGUGCAGGAGUCUGUUAGCUGGGAGGAAGCUCAGCGUCACUGCAGUCUGAUCCACUCUGACCUCGCCGUCAUCCAGUCCAGAGAGCAGCUGCAGAACGCCCUACAGGCACUGGGGGGCGCCACAGAAAGCCCAUGGAUCGGACUUCACCGAGAGGACCCACACAACGCCUGGAGAUGGGUCGACAUGUUUUAUAACUGGAUUAGUGAAGCACAUGGUGAAACAUAUGGGUGUGUCUUCUACUAUUCAGGAAAG